rnacentral:rRNA from 1 species
AGUGAACGCUGGCGGUAGGCCUAACACAUGCAAGUCGAACGGCAGCACAGUAAGAGCUUGCUCUUACGGGUGGCGAGUGGCGGACGGGUGAGGAAUACAUCGGAAUCUACUUUUUCGUGGGGGAUAACGUAGGGAAACUUACGCUAAUACCGCAUACGACCUACGGGUGAAAGCAGGGGAUCUUCGGACCUUGCGCGAUUGAAUUAGCCGAUGUCGGAUUAGCUAGUUGGCGGGGUAAAGGCCCACCAAGGCGACGAUCCGUAGCUGAUCUGAGAGGAUGAUCGGCCACACUGGAACUGAGACACGGUCCAGACUCCUACGGGAGGCAGCAGUAGGGAAUAUUGGGCAAUGGGCGCAAGCCUGACGCAGCCAUACCGCGUGAGUGAAGAAGGUCUUCGGGUUGUAAAGCCCUUUUAUUAGGAAAGAAAAACAGCAGGUGAAAACCCGGCUGUUCUGACGGUACCCAAAGAAUAAGCACCGGCUAACUUCGUG